UACGUAGGGUGCAAGCGUUGUCCGGAAUUAUUGGGCGUAAAGGGCUCGUAGGCGGUCCAUCACGUCGGGAGUGAAAAGCUGGGGCUUAACCCCAGUCCUGCUUCCGAUACGGGUGGACUAGAGGUAGGCAGGGGAGAACGGAAUUCCGUGGUGUAGCGGUGAAAUGCGCAGAUAUCAGGAGGAACACCGGUGGCGAAGGCGGUUCUCUGGGCCUUACCUGACGCUGAGGAGCGAAAGCGUGGGAGCAAACAGG
rnacentral:rRNA from 1 species